rnacentral:rRNA from 1 species
AGUCGAGGGGUAUAGUUCUUCGGAAUUAGAGACCGGCGCACGGGUGCGUAACGCGUAUGCAAUCUACCUUUUGCAGAGGGAUAGCCCAGAGAAAUUUGGAUUAAUACCUCAUAGUAUAGCAGUUUCGCAUGAAACCACUAUUAAAGUCACAACGGCAAAAGAUGAGCAUGCGUCCCAUUAGCUAGUUGGUAAGGUAACGGCUUACCAAGGCUACGAUGGGUAGGGGUCCUGAGAGGGAGAUCCCCCACACUGGUACUGAGACACGGACCAGACUCCUACGGGAGGCAGCAGUGAGGAAUAUUGGACAAUGGGCGCAAGCCUGAUCCAGCCAUGCCGCGUGCAGGAUGACGGUCCUAUGGAUUGUAAACUGCUUUUGUACAGGAAGAAACACUCCCUCGUGAGGGAGCUUGACGGUACUGUAAGAAUAAGGAUCGGCUAACUCCGUGCCAGCAGCCGCGGUAAUACGGAGGAUCCAAGCGUUAUCCGGAAUCAUUGGGUUUAAAGGGUCCGUAGGCGGUUUAGUAAGUCAGUGGUGAAAGCCCAUCGCUCAACGGUGGAACGGCCAUUGAUACUGCUAGACUUGAAUUAUUAGGAAGUAACUAGAAUAUGUAGUGUAGCGGUGAAAUGCUUAGAGAUUACAUGGAAUACCAAUUGCGAAGGCAGGUUACUACUAAUGGAUUGACGCUGAUGGACGAAAGCGUGGGUAGCGAACAGGAUUAGAUACCCUGGUAGUCCACGCCGUAAACGAUGGAUACUAGCUGUUGGGAGCAAUCUCAGUGGCUAAGCGAAAGUGAUAAGUAUCCCACCUGGGGAGUACGUUCGCAAGAAUGAAACUCAAAGGAAUUGACGGG